rnacentral:rRNA from 1 species
CCUACGGGAGGCAGCAGUGGGGAAUAUUGCUCAAUGGAGGAGACCCUGAAGCAGCCACGCAGCGUGAAGGAUGACGGUUUUCGGAUUGUAAACUCCUUUUGUUAGAGAAGAUAAUGGCGGUAUGUAACGAAUAAGCACCGGCUAACUCCGUGCCAGCAGCCGCGGUACUACGGCGGGUGCAAGCGUUACUCGGAAUCACUGGGCGUAAAGAGCGCGUAGGCGGGAUAGCAAGUCAGAUGUGAAAUCCUACGGCUUAACCAUAGAACUGCAGUUGAAACUGUCAGUCUAGAGUAUGGUAGAGGUAGGUGGAAUUCUUGGUGUAGGGGUAAAAUCCGUAGAGAUCAAGAGGAAUACUCAUUGCGAAGGCGACCUGCUAGAACAUAACUGACGCUGAUGCGCGAAAGCGUGGGGAGCAAACAGGAUUAGAUACCCGAGUAGUC